CCGGCCCGGCCUCUGGAAGCUUCUCCUGGCCCUCGCCCGGCCGGGCCUGCGCGGGCGGCGCGGCGGGGGUGUUGUCCUGAGCAGGCCUGAGGAGCCAGCGGCCUUCCCGGCGUUUCGCAAGACUCCCCUGGGAGUACGGGCGGCUGUAGAAUGCUCUUGUCAACAGCUGCCGUGCGAGCAGAGCGCUGCGAUCCAGAGCGGUCUCGAUGUUUCAGUCCCCGAAAAUCGGACUUCUGGUGUUCAAACCUUUCCUAGGGUAUCAGGACAAAUGACAUCUGCAGAACAGGUUUCACAGUUUUUGCAGAAUGACAAAAGCAUUACAGUUGGUCACUUUUGCUUUCUCACCAGAUAAUGAAAGAAGGAGAUAGCCUGGAAGUGUAGAGAUGGGCACCAACACUUGAAAACGUAGCUGUUGGCAAAGGUUGAUAGCUGUUCAACUGUGGGAGCAGAGACAUUUUUGGAGAAGCUGUUAGAGAAUGCUGAGGAACCAGAUUGUACCACACUAUGGAUAUUUUCAGCGGUUUCGUAACAAGUUGUGAAAAAAUUUUCAGUCUACAUGAUCCACUGAAUCUUAAAAUAGGUGAGCCACAGACAGGAAGAAUCUUUCUGGCAUGUAUUAUUAUCUUGGUAUAAGGACAUGGAGCAUCAGGGGUGUGAAAAGAUUCCUCACUCUCACUAAAUAUGGGGUUUUCUGGGUAAUGUAUGACUCUCAGAACAGGGAUGUUGGGAAAGAUUCUCACAGUAAGAGAGAAGCUGAACAACAACACCCUUUAAUGGCAACAUUCUGACCCAUGCCAAGACAUUUUCUGUGAAUCACUCUGUAGAACUAUUUGCCUGGGAGGUUCAGUAAAACAUAUGAGCCUCUUGCUGAAGUGAUAAUGUUGUCUCAGCUUGUAUCACUUCUGAGCUUGAACUUAGAAUCUCCGGUGUCUAACGUUCUUUAACAUGAAGAAGAGACAAUUUUUUCUCCCUUUGGCCUGAAUGUCAGACAAGUAGCAGACUGUUGCAUUGAAGCCACAGUCUUGUAGGUCAAAAAGUCAGGGUGAAGUCCUCUGAAGAGGUAGGGAGGAGAGAGCAGCAAGGAAAAAAAUGGCUGAUGUAACUUUUGGAAAUGAUUUAAUGACAGUUACAGAACUUCACAGCCUUUUAACUUACCAAACAUGAGUAGCUCAGUGGCAGCAAAAAAUGGACUUUGCAAUUCACUACUUCCUCUUGAGGGAGAUGGGAGCAUACUGGUUUUCUUUGAGAGCAGGUAGGUGUUUGUAAUUUGUGUGACAAACAAGUAAAGUUCACUGAGCCACAAGCAGCCAUCAUGGCAACUUUGUAUGUGCAGCUGGAUGUCUGAUGGCAUCUCUUUACAAGAGAGUGAGUGAUGCAUAUUGCAACAGGACUGACCUCAUUCCUUAGCAUUGCUAUGCCCAGUGAAAGGGCAUAAAAACUGAGAUUCUGGGCAGGACCUUGCAAAAUUCAGCCAGCGUCUGUAGAGCUUCAUCAGGACUUCAGAAGCUCAGGAGAAUCUUGUGAUCAGUGGGAGAAGCUAGGAAUGGUGAUAGCUGACUCCUCCACAUGUGAUAGGAAAGCUUUGGAUUGCUCAUGAGGGCUUGACCUAGUUCUUUCAUUCUGAUUAUCAAAAAUAAGAGUGGUAACACCAUGAAACUGCAGCCUGGCAUACAGAACAGAAAACAGAUUGGUUAUAGCCCACUUUAAAUUAAUGGCACAUCUAAUGGAGCAGUGUGCCUCGCAAUCUGCUUGUUUUUCUGCAGUGGAAAUUACAGAGCUAAUGACAUUUGAGACCUAGACUGGAAGCUUUGGCUGAUGGAACAUGUUGCUAGCGGGUGUUUUUUAUGAAAAGAUAAUGGGUAGGAUAAUCAGAAAAAAAGUGGUCUGGUCUUCACUGGAGGAACAAAACCAAAGGUGAGAUCAGGAAAGGAAAACAAAUAUUAAAUUUCAGUGAAGAUAAAAAUACUGUAAAGGAUUAAAUUGAUCAAACAUGGAAAAUGGUUCAGUUAGAAUGAGCAAUGCAGUUCACUGAGAAGAAAUGCUUGUUCUGAGCUAAGGUGAGGUGAAGGUGUUAUGCUGCAGUCUCUUACACCACAUGGGAGAGCUGUCCAUGAAUUUAAUAUGCUUCUUGCAGCUGCUGGAGUUAAAAUGCCUUUGGAGUAAUUCUGCACACACAGAUCAGAAUGUGGAUGUGUUCUUAAGGCAGAACUCUUGGGCAGUGAGUAAGACCCAACUAAAAGUAGCAGAAGAUGAUUAAAAAGAAAAUGACAUUUCAGAUUGACUGGAAUUAUGUUUCCUACUUGGCCACAAAGGCUUUCAUGAGCAGUUUAGUCAAUAAAAAAUAUGCCAGAAAAUGUAAGUCAGUACUUUUUUGGCAAAGUUUUUUUCACAACUAUAUGCACAAAGUUAAUGCGUGAAGAACAGUUGAGCUGGGCCUAGUUAUUUGGGCUGACAAAACGCACGCUAGCAAUAGAAAAAGGCAUUCUGAAGCCAAGGGUGUUGUUCAGUCUGCUCUGUUACUGUCUUACAUCAGUGUAAUUGUGGAUUCCUUUCUAAUGUCGACCUCUUAAAAAACACAUGGGUGGCACUUCUGUCCUUUGCAGUGAGUGAGGGAACAGUUCUAGUCAGGCAAAUUAGCACUGGCCACAGAUAUCCAGACCUUCCCUUGAGUUUCGGGCAGGCUGUAACAAGAUUCUAGUUGGUGCAGAGCAGCACCAUGGACAUGCCUUUUCAGGUUGUAUGAUGACUGGCAUACAAGGUGUAGAAACACAAAUAGAGCUCACGUUCUUGGUCUUCAACUGCAGAGUGUAGCAGGCACAACACAGGGGUGCCUAAAUCUGUGCUACGCACUCUGGUUGCUCCAUUUAGCCUUAGCCUCUGCAGUCUAAGGCUAAAACUUGUCUGUGCGAGAGCUGGUCUUAGUGGAAUGACUCUAAACACAAAGAGUGUGUAUGAGUUAAGCUGUGGUUGGAAAUGUUGGCUUUGUGACACUACAGCUUGUGACUUCUCAAUAAAGGAUGGUAGAGACAUAUUUAAGAAGCAGUGUAUAUGUAGGUUACAGAGGGGAAAUAUGCUACAGGCAAGCUACUUGACCAGUCCUUUUUGUAUUUUUCCAUGCUAUACCUAGUGUUCUACACUAUACCACUGAAAUCAAUACAGUGAGAUACCCCUUGAUUGCCAGGAAGAGAGCUAUCAUCAGUGAUAGAUAGGUAAUUGUUUUGAAGUGACACGUUUUAAAAAAGAGGCCUUGACAGCAUUGUGCUUCAAGUUUUCUGCUUGAGCUGUUAGAAAACACAAAAGGCUUGAGCCUGUUGCUACAAGUAAAGACUGUGGAAUUCACAGGGAAGUACAUUCUCAUCACUAACACUGAAGCUAAGUUAGUAGUAGAUAACCCCUCACUGACUGCUGCCUUAUUGUUAAAUUGGCUAAUGCUGUUGAGAGCAAUGUAGACAUGGUAAAAUAUAGUCGCUCCUGAGAUAAUGUCACCAAAAUGAAUGCUUUGUGAGAAAGAGUAACAACUUUGUAUGAUGAAGGAAUGAAGACCUCAGAAUAAGAAAAAUUGAAAAAGCAGCAACAAAAUUCAACAUACCAGGUAUAUUUGUGUGUAAAUGAGCAACUAAGAGAUGCAGAAAUUGAUGUAGGACUUUUUACAUGCAAUUGUAUAGCACAUAAAGUAAGCAACAGAACAAAAGAGAACAAAGGAGAAGGACAAUAUUGGCUUUUGGUAAUAAUUUCUAAUUGCUGAGACAAUAUACUAAAUACCUAUAUAUAUAUAUAUAUUAUAGCUUCUAUCAGCUACUAAAUAGUUAAUACCUGGAGUGAAAAAGUACCUAGGAAACUUACACAUUCACUAAAAAAGUCAAAGAAAUAGUAAUGAUUUGUAUUAGCCAAUUCAUGUGAUGUCUUCUUAUAUGGUACAAAGAGGUAAAAAUCUUUGCCCCAUAUGUUUCUCUGCCUUUGAGUAUCUACUUUGUAUUUUAUACUUGUGGUCUUACUGAUCUAUCUUAUCUUCUUCCACUACCCUACCAUUUAUUUACCAUUCUUUGCCAUUUGUUAAGAGCUUUUCCUUGCUUUUAUCUCUUUUUGCUCUUUUUGUCCUUUGAUAUUGCCAAACUCACAUUCAUGUAUUUUCCUGUUUCCUGUUAUUUCUGCUCCCUUUAGCAGAAUACUUGUUGCAUUUACAAGUUUUCCAGCAAAAGUCUGUCAAAAUAAUUCCUUUUAAGAGUUAUUUUAGGAGAAAGUUAAUUGCCUAGAAAUACUUUUGUUCUCAAUUUAUACCAUCACUCAGCUAUAUAACAAAUUAAAUUCUGCCAAAAAUCCAAAAUGACAGAGUUCCUUACCAACAUGGCAUAACAAGUGCUUCAUAGUCAGAAUUUAGCAAACAAAAAUGGUGGCGAGUGUGCAUAAUGAAGCCCAGUCUGUCAGUAUAGAAACACUUUCAUAGUGCCAAUAGCACUGAAAGCUUGCUUUAAGAGAUAAGCCAGAGACAUUAGAAUCCUAGCCUGGGAGCAUCUCCUUCACUGAUCUGUG